rnacentral:rRNA from 1 species
GAUUUCCGAAUGAGGAAACUCACCAUGAGUAAUGUCAUGGUAUCUUCGAGUGAAUACAUAGCUCGUUGAGGGGAACUCGGGGAACUGAAACAUCUAAGUACCCGAAGGAAGAGAAAGAAAUUCGAUUCCGCUAGUAGCGGCGAGCGAACGCGGAACAGCCCAAACCUAAGAAGUUCGCUUCUUAGGGGUUGCGGA